rnacentral:rRNA from 1 species
UCCGGCGGCGAUAGCACGUUAAAUGUACCCGUUCCCAUCGAUCACGAAGAUAAACAACUUUGAGCAUGGUUGGUACGCGGAUGGGUGACCAUCUGGGGAAUCGCGUACUGAUGGCU